rnacentral:tRNA from 1 species
AUCUUUCUAGUACAGCGCUAGUAUAAGUGACUUCCAAUCACCCGGCCCUGGUUGAACCCCAGGGAAAGAUA